CUGGGCCAGUGGCCUAAUCCAAACUGAAUGCUAAUGGGCAGCCCCGUGCCUGAAGUGAAGCAGAAUAGCGUAAAUUAACAGGCUCCUUUUGCUCAUUGGCAGCUCUGAGCCAUCUGUCCUGUUUUCUGUUUGGAGACCAAAACUAAAAGGUAACUGGGCUAUGAGGACAGCCAAUAUUUUGGCCCUGGCCCCUCAAGGUCAACAAAGUUCCAGGACAUGAGGGAACCUUCUCUACAGGGUCCUACAUCUUUGAAACGAUUGAGGGCAUUCACCAGCCAGACAGCCACAGAGUUCAUCAUGGCAGGGUAUCAGCCAGUACGGCAAAAGGAAGAGGUCCCCACUUGCCACUGACCUCAUCAGAUCCAGGUCUAGCCCCGAUCUUCGCCCCUUGUCAGCAGGAAGCAGCUCCAGAAGAAGAGACCUUCGCCCAACUGUCAUAAAACAAAAGCCUGGAAUGAUAGGUCUCCCACCACCUCAGCAGCUAUUAAGUACAGUAGCUGCCCUCUUCCUAUGGUGCCUUGCCCCCUCCCCUGUGUGACAUCAUGCCAAGAUGGUUGCUCCCACCAAAGAACAAACCCUUCUUCCCAGCAUGCCCCUGUUCCAACCUAGACAGUAACCUAAUACUUGCUCACCUCCUACCACCUAGUGACAUCACCGGCUCCUCCAUUCCUUAGUCACUACCUCACUCAACCCCGCCUCAGCCCCUACAAGCCCCACCCCAGUCUCUAUAAAAGACUCUCCCUGCCCCAGCCAUAUUGCUUUUGUCUCUCCUUUGUUCAGAGACAGCCCGGCAGAUCUAUUCCCCUAAUAAAGGCUUGCUGUGGCCUGGUCUGGUCUUGGUCUUCGGCCCUUUUACCUGACACUUACCCAUGCGAGGGUCUCUGAUGAGCUGUGUGUGUGAUCCAGGGAUCAGCUCCUCUGCCGUACGUGUCGCCUCCUGGAAGCAACUGAUGCCGUCUGCCACCGCAGUCCCUUCCCUGAUCUGUGGGUAGCUGGCAGCUUCUCGUGGUUACGAUCUGUGCUUUAAUCUUUGCAAUUUUCAGGAACCUCAACGAUAAGAAAUGUGAGUAAUUAAAGUUCUCAAAUUUGCCAAGUGGUUUACCAAGUGAGUGCAAACACAGGUAAGCUUUUUGUGCCCUAAGUACUACUUAAACGUCUUUACUUUUGAAAAUUAUCAAUCCCAUCUGGAAUUUGAAUAGACACCAAGUUGUCACUUAGAAGUAGAAACUGGCAGCCUAGAGACCUAUGCCCGCCAGAGCCUAGAAAACCACACGGGGCCGCAGUGCUGUGCUGCCAGGCCUGGCUGUAGGACUUCUGUGGCCCAGAGCCCCCCAUCUGUGAGCAGAAGUUUCCCCACUUGACAGGUGGAUACAACCACCCCUUGCUUAAGACAAGGGGUGCGAACAAGCACUUUUGUGUUUAGCCAUUGUUAGGAUGUAGAUCAAACAUGUCCCUCAGAAGUCUGCUGCCUGUGGAACAUGACUGGAUCAUGGGGUGCUGUACUCAUCAUUAGAUUCCCCCACUGAAUUGUACAGUAGCUGAGUGUGCUGUUAGGAGGGACUUGGGUGAAGGUGGUCACUGGGGGUGGGACCUGGAAGGUGCAUUCCUGUCCUUGCUCCUCCCUUCUCACUGUUUCCUGGCUGCCAUGAGGUGAACAGCUUUCCUCUGCCCUGCCCUUCCACCAGGCUGUUUCUGCCUUGGAGCUGAUCAAUCAUGGACUGAAUCUCUGGCAACUGUGAGCCAAAACAAGCCUCUCCUCCUUUAAGCUGUGGGUGUGGGGCUGUGUCCCAAAGCUCACCAAUACAGGUAAUAAAGGAAUCAAAUUCGUGUAUUGAACCCACGCAGCACUUUUCUCUUGUCCACUCACCUGCAUUUGGUCUCUCCUGGAAAAAUACCAGAGCACAUGAGCUUAGCACUGUUUCCCAAUGUUCUUCUUGAGCUUCUAGGUCCUCCUUAUAGGGGAGGCACAGUAGAGUAGGAUCUGCAAUUCCAUUUGGAAGCAAAGAAACAUGACUGGCUUCACAGGUGAUGCAUGAACUUGAUUCUUUCCAUGAUUCUGGUCAAAUUGGACAAGAACCAAGUCAAAUUUAAUGGUUAAGUUCAAUGUUGAUCCUAUGGGGAAAUUUG
rnacentral:lncRNA from 1 species